CUUCCUUUAAACAGAAUACUCCAGAAGUUAUUAACGAGGAAGCAACAGUAAUUUUCUCAUAUAAGGCGUGAAUUUUGAACAGAAAUAAUCUCUUUUCUCCAGUACCAAAAUGAACAAGUCAGCGCUUCUUGUUUUACUUCUCCUCGGACUUCUCAUUAUCACCAAUACCAACUACGCUUUUUAUGCGAGGUGUCGUCGUCGCCGUAUGCGUUAUGUAUAUUGUAUGUGUCGU